rnacentral:lncRNA from 1 species
AGGAGGGUUCACUUGAAAGUAAGGGCUUUCCUUCUUCUUUGUCAGCCUAUAUAGUCUCAAAAGCUGCACUGAACGCAUAUACUAGGAUUCUAGCAAAGAAGUACCCCACUUUUCGUAUCAAUUCGUUAUGCCCUGGCUUUGUCAAAACAGAUAUAAACUACAAUGUCGGUGUCCUACCUGUCGAAGAAGGGGCUGCAAGGGUUAUGAAGUUAGCAUUGCUGCCCAAUGAUGGCCCUUCUGGCUCCUUCUUUGUUGAGUACGAAGUGUCAGAUUUUUAAUUGAAGAUGAUCCGUUUAUGCAAAUUAAAUACAUGUCAUUUAUUUGGCAGGAUCUUGAAUUUUUAAUGUAACAAAGUGUAUUUGGACCCAGCACCAGAUCCCUUUUAAGUUCUUUCUACAUUCAAUAUGACUCGAGGACAACAUACAAUAGUCUUGUAUGAUUGCAUCUUUGUGAAAUUAUCUUCCACAUAUGGAAUUGAUUGAAGGAUCUAAUACAUUGCUUGUUUACAUUUCUACUUAUCAACUGGCUGUUGAACUCAUAUUAUCAUUUACAUUAUUAUUCAACCAGAAAUUCUAUAUGAUUGAUAUCCAUUUUUUGAUCGAUACUAUCAAUAACAUUUUGGUAUAUUUUGUUAUGGAUAUGCUGACAACAAUUAUAUUAACACUUAAUCCACAAUUCUUUCAUUAAUUAAGAAAUGACGUAGGUAUAAAGAAGAAUUGAUUAUCCAACAAUCCCUCAUUCCCUCGUUCCAUCAAUAUUAUUGUAUUCAAUUGUUUAAUAAAGAAAAAGACAAUUGUCAUGUUCAAUGCAAAACUGCUUAAGACUUCGCAUGUUACGACUUUUUUGCCUAUACACUCCAAUGGUAGUUGAGACAUUGGGGAAGCCCUUGUGAACAUGUUGUUGAAAGGUCUCUCUGGUCUGUCAACGUGUGCACUUGCGUCACUACCUUCUCCUUUUCCUUAACGAAAAUUCUACAGAGAAAAAUCCAAGCAAAUGCUGUUCUAUCUAUCUUUCCCAUUCAAAUGAUGUCAUAUCUCACUAUAUCUCACCAAACCCAGUUAUUAACUUAUUAUUACUUUCAUGACCCAAAAAAGAAAAAGUUACUUUUACGUUUUCCGUUUUUUGCUAUACCACUUUUUUGUCAGUAAGGACACAAUUGUACUUUUAUAAAUCCAAACUAACAAACGCCAUAAUGGGCUUACUCAUUGACUAAAAACUAACAAAAAUAUAAAAUCACUUGAGCAAGACCCAAAAGUAUAUAGGGUAUUUAGAAGAUCUUAAUUAGUGCAUUUCCACAUGUAAGCUUAUAAAUAGGACCGAAAUAUAGAAGAAUUCUACAAUAAAUUUUAGGAAAAAUUCAAUUUGUCUUUCAAAAUUAAAAUAAGGAGUUAAAUUCUUAUUACGGAUACUUCUAUGUUUUUUCCACAUUGAGAAACUAAAAAUACAAAUGACACCCACAAAAAAAGUAAAAAUUCAAUUCUUGAGUAGGGCAGCCGCAUGUGAAAUCACACUCGCAAAGAGUUAAGACCCACAUUCAGAGGGUCUCACCCUUAUUUGAGUGCCACCGGUGCCGCGGUCCUGUUUAAGAUUUUUUUCCUAUCAAAAGGUGAAGGUUGCCACAAGUAAAUUAAUGUAUGUAUUUUAUAUCUAGUGGGGAUGAAAAAGUAAGGUGAUCCAUGUUUCUAUAGGAUAUUAUUAUUUACAUUAUUAGUCAAUUAGAGUAGUCACAUCCACACCAGUCUUUGCAUGCGAAACUGCUUACUGCCCUGCAACUGCCUUCACCAAAAUUCUCCCACAAACCCAUUAUUUUCCUUUAAAAUCUUAAAAACAAAAUUUGGUCCCUCUGUCGCCACAAUUUCUAAUUAAUGUUAGAAAACACUAGAAGCAUAUAGGAACAAAAGAAUCAAAAUUUUCUUCUUCGUAUUAUUUAUUUGAAUAUGACCUCAAAAGUCAAAGGCUUUCCAAGAACAUUCACUAUAAAAGAAAAGAAGGCUCCUUCUGUUUAACACACAUCUCAAUUCUCACAGACCGUCCCGUUUCGAAUCUAUCAAUGGCAGAAGCAACAAAGAGGUAGCACUUUAGACUUCAUUAUGCUUUGUUUCCUUGUCCGAUUUCCAAUCCCUUUAAUUGUUUUUGUUUCUAUGAAUUUGGUGUUUGUGUUUUCUUAGGUAUGCGGUUGUUACUGGAGCAAACAAAGGUAUAGGAUUGGAAACUGUAAGGCAGUUGGCCUCAAAUGGGUUCACCGUAGUCUUAACUGCCCGAGAUGAGAAGAGGGGUCUUGAAGCUGUUGAGAAACUCAAAGAGUCUGGCCUCUCAGGUCAAGUGGUUUUUCAUCAACUUGAUGUGGUUGACCCUGCUACUGUUGCUUCUUUGGCAGACUUCAUCAAAACCCAGUUUGGGAAACUCGAUAUCUUGGUAUGUAUAUGAUCAUAGCUACAGGUUUCUUGAAAAAGUUUCUGUCUUUUGAAUCUAACUCUUAAUCCGAAUGCGAUUUAGUUGGAAGCACGGAUACGCUGGUUGAGGUGCGUAUCCCGUAUCCGAUACGCUAGGGGAUACGAUACGCUGUGAAUACGUGCGGAUACCCGAUGGAUACGUAUCCGAGUAAACGGAUACGGUCAAAGACAAAAAGAUACUCGUAUCUGACAUUACAGAUACGAGUAUCUGAUGUUUAGGAUACGCGUAUCAGGAAACGUCUCCACUUCUUCUUUCAGAUCUUCCUUCUUCUUCUUCAUCCAGCAGUGCCCCCACUCAUCAAUUCUUCUUCUUCGUCCUUAAGAAGCCCAGAUCUUCCUUUUUCUUCUUCAUCCAGCGGCGCCCCUACUCAUCAAUUUCUUCUUCUUCAUUCUUCAUUGUCGGCGGCGUCGGGUUCUCUUCUCCAUUUUCAUUUUGUUUUCUCACGCGUGCUUCUCUGUUCUUUUGACAAAAGGAUUUUGUUUUGUUUUUGUCUUUUUUUUUGGUCAAAGGAUUUUGUUUGUUUAAUAUUCACAGUUUCACCCACACCCCACGUGAUGGCUGGUCUUAUCGUUUUGACAAAAGGAUUUUGUUUUGUUUGUCUUAUUAAAAGUAAUAAUAUUAUAACCAAGACAAGUGGAAGUAUGUUAAAAGUAAUAAUAUCAAAAGUAGUUAUUUAAAAUAUGUUAUAAAUUAUAUAUAUUGUUAUUUUUAAAUUAUUAUAUAUUAUUUAAAUUACCGUAUUCACGACGUAUCGUAUCCUAAUUUUUAAAAAUUUAUCGUGUCUCCGUGUGGUGUCGUAUCGUAUUCUCGUAUCCGUAUCCGUGUCCGUGCUAUGAAAUAUGGAAUUGGAAAAUGAAAAUAGCAAACCAAGUAAUAACUAGCUUAGUAAUAUCUUCAACAAGUUAAUCUUUGAAAUAAUUAGAAGUCUUAGGCUUUUUGAAGAACAAAACAAGUUUCACAUAACUACCAGUCUACCACUCUGUUUUUGUUUCUUGGAAUCUUUUGAUAUAUGAUAUGAUCCCUUUCUGUACAAUUUAUAUGUACUCUAGAAAGAUCAGUGGCUGGAGUUACGGGGUUUGGCAAAGUGGCAUAAUUAUUGGGCUUCUUUAAAGGGCAUUGGACUUUAUGGUUAGUUUGGUUUUAACAACAAAGAGAUUGUAAGAGUAAUCAGAGGAUCUAUCAACUUUCUUUUCCUUUCAUUUUCUAUAAAGAUUUUCUGUUCUUUUCUUUGCUAAAAGAAAACAGAUAGUGAAACAGUUGGACUCUGCACAGGUGAACAAUGCAGGGGUUAUUGGAAGCAUAGUAGAUGGUGAUGCUUUUAAAGCUUCUGUAGCCUCCGGUGCCACGGUAAGUCUUUUGCAUAAUUUUUUUAUCAAUAGCUAUCAAAAACUAAAAGCUUCAAUGUAUGUGCCAAAGUGAGAAUUUAAACUGAUCUGUGGUUUGGCAUACUUUAAUCAACGUUUUUCUUGUUUGGGGUGGGUGUGUAAGUGGUGGGCAAUAGGCACCAUAAUAAUAAGUUUGUUUUUGCUGAUACAGGAAAGAGGAGGAGUUGAUUUUAGUAAACUAGUGACUGAAACUUACGAGUUAACAGAAGAAUGCUUGCAAAUAAACUAUUAUGGUGCUAAAAGAACAGCUGAAGCACUUAUCCCACUCCUCCUGUUAUCUGACUCACCGAGAAUUGUUAAUGUUUCUUCUGUCAUGGGGAUGUUAAACAACAUACCAAGCGAUUGGGCUAGAGGAGUUUUUACUGAUGCCGAAAACCUAACAGAAGAGAGAGUAGAUGAGGUACUGACUGAGCUUCUAAAAGAUUUCAAGGAGGGUUCACUUGAAAGUAAGGGCUGGCCUUCUUCUAUGCCUGCCUAUAUAGUCUCAAAAGCAGCACUGAACGCAUAUACAAGGAUUCUAGGAAAGAAGUACCCCACUUUUCGUAUCAAUUCAGUCUGCCCUGGCUUUGUCAAAACAGAUAUAAACUUCAAUGCCGGCGUCUUGCCUGUCGAAGAGGGUGGUGCCAGGAUUGUAAAGUUAGCAUUGCUGCCCAAUGAUGGCCCUACUGGCUCCUUCUUUGUUCACAAUGAAGUGUCAGAUUUUUGAUUGAAGAUGAUCCAUUUAUGCAAAUUUAAUACGAGUCAUUUAUUGGGCAACAUUUGGUACUGUAAUGUAAUUUUAAGUAUUUUGGUAUGUAUAUUGAUUGAAGGAUCUAGUGCAUUGUUUACAUUUCUACUAUUCAUCUGGCUCUUGCACUCAUAUUAUCAUUUACAAUGUUAUUCAGUCAGAAAUUCUAUGUGAUCGAUGUCCGGUAUUAUCGAUAGUAUAUCAAUAACAUUUCGGUAUAUUUUGUUAGACUUAAGUUAGAGACAAUAAUAUUGACAGUCCAUCAUUUAAUUAAGGACGAAGUUUUGAGAAGAAUUGAUUAUUCAAUAUUAUCCAACUUAAAUUGUAAUAGCACAAUCGCAAACUUCUGCAGUCAAUUGUGUAAACGAAGGCAUAGGAUUGGAAACUGUCAGGCAGUUGGCCUCAAAAGGAUUCACUGUAGUCUUAACUGCCAGAGAUGAGAAGAGGGGUCUUGAAGUUGUUGGGAAACUCAAAGAGUCUGGCUCCUCAGGUCAAGUGAUUUUUCAUUAGCUUGAUGUGGCUAACCCAGUAACACAGGAGAAGGUUAAUGUUAAAUUGAGUGGCUGAUAUAUAUCAUGCUUAUUGUGUCCACUUCCAGUUGUGUACACGUACCAAGUACCCUAGAAAGAUCAGUGGCUGGAAUUAAGACCCACAUUCAGAGGACUCUCACCCUUAUUUAAGUGUGCUACCGGUGCGGCAGUUUUAUCGAAGAUUUUUUCCUAUCAAAAGGUGAAAGUUGUCACAAGUAAAUUAAUAUCCAUGUUUCUACUAGGAUAUAUUAGUCAAUUAGAAAUUUUCUGCGCAAGUUGAAAAGUCUUGCAUGCGAAACUGCUUGCCACUGCCACCACCAAAAUUCAACAACGUGAGCACUUGCGUCACCACUACCCCAUUAUUUUCCUUUAAAAUCUUCACAACAAAAUUCCAAACAAGUCUUGGUCCCUCUUUCACCACAAUAUCCAAUUACUGCUAGAAAACACUAGAAGCAUCCUCCCUCCAGUAUGUAAUAGGAACAACAGAACCAACAAUUUUCAUCUUCUUCUUAAUAUUUAUCUUAAUAUAAUCCCCAGAAUUCAAAGGCUUUUCAAGAACAUUUCACUAUAAAAGAGAAGAAGGCUGUUGCUGUUUAAUACACAUCUCAAUUUUCACAGACCGUCCCGUUUCGAAUCUAUCAAUGGCAGAAGUAACAAAGAGGUAGCACUUUAAAGUACUGCUUCCAUAACAAUUUCUCACUAUUUUUUGUGUUAUGAAUUUGGUGUUUGUGUUUUCUCAGGUAUGCAGUUGUUACUGGAGCAAACAAAGGCAUAGGAUUGGAAACUGUGAGGCAAUUGGCCUCAAAUGGAUUCACUGUAGUCUUAACUGCCAGAGAUGAGAAAAGGGGUCUUGAAGCUGUUGAGAAACUCAAAGAAUCUGGCCUCUCUGGUCAAGUGGUUUUUCAUCAACUUGAUGUGGCUAACCCUGCUACUGUUGCUUCCUUGGCAGAGUUCAUCAAAACCCAGUUUGGAAAACUCGAUAUCUUGGUAUGUGUAUGAUCAUAGCUGCAGGUUUCUUGAAAAAGUUUCUGUCUUUUGAAAUAAUUAUAAGUCUUAGGCUUACACAAUAUCCACACAGGUGAAGGUUAUAUUAGAGACUGUAAAAUUGAGUGGCUGAUCCAUAUAUUGCUUGCUUAUUGUGACCACUUCCAGUUGUGGAAGAUGUUACUGUCAAAUCUAACUCUAUGUCUGUCACAUUGUUUUUUCGUUUUUUUUUUUUUUUUUUUGGGUGGAAUUCUUUCCAUAUAUAUGCUAUAUGAUCCCUCUCUGUACAAUUUAGAAGUAACCUAGAAAUAUCAGAGGCUGGAGUUAAGGGGUUUGGGAAAGGCACAAUUAUUAGCCUUUAUGGUUGGUUUGGUUGUAACAACGAAAGAGAUUUAUCCAAGUAAUCAGAGGAUCUACCUUCUUCCAAUUAAUUUCAUUUUCUAGAAAAAAUUUCAGUUCUUUUCUUUGCUAAAAGAACCCAAAUAGUGAAACAGUUGGACUCUGCACAGGUGAACAAUGCAGGGAUUAGUGGACGCCAAGUAGACGGUGAUGCUCUUAAAGCUGUAGUAGACUCUGGUGCCAUGGUAAGUCUUUUGGAUAAUUUUUAUCAAUAGCUAUCAAAAACUAAAAGCUUCAAUAUAUGUGCUUAAUAUGAAUGUAAGUUCUCAUGAUGUCUUCCUCUGUCUUGAAAUAUUUUCAUUGUGAUGUGCAUGUCAAACUUUGAUCACCAUUUUUCUUGUUUGGGAUGGUUGUAAGUGGUUGGCAAUAGCCACCAUAAUAAGUUUGUUCUUACUGAUGCAGGAAAGAGGAGAAGUUGAUUGGAAUAAAUUAAAGAUAGAAACUUAUGAGUUGGCAGAAGAAUGCUUGCAAAUAAACUACUAUGGUGCUAAAAAAACGGCUGAAGCACUUAUCCCACUCCUCCAGUUAUCUGACUCACCGAGAAUUGUUAAUGUUUCCUCUUCCUUGGGGAAGUUAAAGAACAUACCUAGUGAUUGGGCUAAAGGAGUUUUUACUGAUGCUGAUAACCUAACAGAAGAGGGAGUAGUUGAGGUACUGACUGAGCUUCUAAAAGCCUUCAAGGAGGGUUCACUUGAAAGUAAGGGCUGGCCUUCUUCUUUGUCUGCCUAUAUAGUCUCAAAAGCUGCACUAAACGCUUAUACAAGGAUUCUAGCAAAGAAGUACCCCGAUAUUCGUAUCAAUUCGGUAUGCCCCGGCUUUGUCAAAACAGAUCUAAACUCCAAUGCCGGCGUCUUGCCUGUCGAAGAAGGUGGUGCCAGGGUUGUGAGUAUAGCAUUGCUGCCCAAUGAUGGCCCUUCUGGUUCCUUCUUUGUUCAGUAUGAAGUGUCAGAUCUUUGAUUGAAGAUGAUCCAUUUAUGCAAAUUUAAUACAUGUCACUUGUUGGGCAGCAUCUUGAACUUUGAUGUAAUUUAAGUAUAUUUGGAACCAGCAGCGGAUCCUUUUUAUGUUCUUUCUACAUUCAAUAAGAGGAUGGCAUAUAUGAUGCUUAUUGUUGUAGCCAUAUUUAAUUGUGCAACAUUCUCUAUCUAAUAGUCCUCUAUGAUUGCAUCUUUAUGAAAUUAUCUCCCACAUCUGGAAUUGAUUGAAGCAUCUGGUGCAUUGUUUGUUUACAUUUCUACUAUUCAUCUGCCUCUUGAACUCAUGUUAUCAUUUGCAUUGUUAUUCAGUCAGAAAUUCUAUGUGAUUCAUGUUCAUCCUUUGAUCGAUAUUAUUGAUGGUAUAUUGAUAACAUUUAGGUAUAUUUUGUGACAUAUGUCAGAGAAUAAUAUUGACACCUUCUGCAGUCAAUUGUUUAAAAAAACAAAAAGACAACAUAGGUCUCGUUAACAAUUAUGUAAUUUUGGAGCGGUUAAAUUCACCAAUCUUGCCGACGAAACUGCUUCAGCCUUGGCAUGUGGUUGAUGGUUGAGUUAAGCUCUCUCUGCUCUGCCACCACCACCAAAAUGCUUAAACAAUGGGAGCACUUGCGUCACCACCCCCAUUCUUUUCCUUAAUUCUUAAAAGAAAAAUCCAAACAAAUGUUGUUUUCCCAUCAGAUUACUUCUAGGAAACAUUCGACGCAAGCAUCCUCCCUCCAGUAUAGGAACAAACGAGUCUUAACAAUUUUCUUGCUCUUAUUAUUAUUUAUUUGAAUAUCAAACUUGAAAUGUGCAAAGGUUUUCCCACAGACAGACGAUCCCAUAAACGAAUCAGCAAUGGCAGAAGCAAGAAAGAGGUGGCACCUUAGAGUCCAUACCCUUUGAUUACUUCUAUAACAAUUUCUCACUCUUGUUUUUGUUUCCUUUUUGCUUUCCUAUUUUUGUUAUGAAAUUGGUGUUUCUUCUUUUGUUUUUCCAGGUAUGCAGUUGUUACUGGGGCAAACAAAGGCAUAGGAUUGGAAACUGUCAGGCAGUUGGCCUCAAAAGGAUUCACUGUAGUCUUAACUGCCAGAGAUGAGAAGAGGGGUCUUGAAGCUGUUGAGAAAUUCAAAGAAUCUGGCCUCUCAGGUCAAGUGGUUUUUCAUCAACUUGAUGUGGCUAACCCUGCUAGUCUUGCUCCUUUGGCAGACUUCAUCAAAACCCAGUUUGGGAAACUCGAUAUCUUGGUAUGUAUGAUCAUAGCUACAGGGUUAAUGUAAAAUUGAGUGAUCUAUAUCAUGCUUAUUGUGUCCACUUCCAGUUGUGGAAGAUUUUACUUUGAAGUCUAAAUCUAACUCUAACUAUAUGAAAGAUCAGUGACUGGAAUUAAGUGGUGUGACAAAGUAGCAUACUUAUUGGCCUUCUUUGAAGAGCACUGGUUGGUUAUAGCAGAUAGUUUAUCCAAGUAAUCAAAGCAUCUACCAACUUUCUUUUAAUUCCAUCUUGUAGAUGUUUUUUUCUUUGCUUUUGUUUGCAAAAGUAAAACAAGUAGUGAAACAGUUGGACUCUGCACAGGUGAACAAUGCAGGGAUUGGUGGAAGCACAGCGGAUCCUGAUGCCUUUAGAGCUGUAGUAGAGUCUGGUGCCUUUGUAAGUCUUUCAGAUAAUUCUUAUCAAUAGCUACCAAAAACUUAAAGCUUUAAUGUAUGUGUUUAAUGUGAAAAUUUAAAUUGAUCUGUGGUUUGGCUUAAUGCUAUGGCAAUUAGUAGGGGAAAUGAUCUGUGUAACAUCACCAGGCUGGUAUGAUUCGGGUGGGUGUGUAAGUAGUUGGCAAUAGCCACCGUAAUAAGUUUGUUCUUACUGAUGCAGGGAAGAGGAGAAGUUGAUUGGAGUAAACUAAGUACUGAAACUUAUGAGUUGGCAGAAGAAUGCUUGCAGAUAAACUAUUAUGGUGCUAAAAGAACAGCUGAAGCACUUAUCCCACUCCUCCAGUUAUCCGAUUCACCGAGAAUUGUUAAUGUUUCGUCUUUCAUGGGGAAGUUAAACAACAUACCGAGCGGUUGGGCUAAAGUAGUUUUUACUGAUGCAGAAAACCUAACAGAAGAGAGACUAGAUGAGGUACUGACUGAGCUUUUAAAAGCCUUCAAGGAGGGUUCACUUGAAAGUAAGGGCUUUCCUUCUUCUUUGUCAGCCUAUAUAGUCUCAAAAGCUGCACUGAACGCAUAUACUAGGAUUCUAGCAAAGAAGUACCCCACUUUUCGUAUCAAUUCGUUAUGCCCUGGCUUUGUCAAAACAGAUAUAAACUACAAUGUCGGUGUCCUACCUGUCGAAGAAGGGGCUGCAAGGGUUAUGAAGUUAGCAUUGCUGCCCAAUGAUGGCCCUUCUGGCUCCUUCUUUGUUGAGUACGAAGUGUCAGAUUUUUAAUUGAAGAUGAUCCGUUUAUGCAAAUUAAAUACAUGUCAUUUAUUUGGCAGAAUCUUGAAUUUCUAAUGUAACAAAGUGUAUUUGGACCCAGCACCAGAUCCCUUUUAAGUUCUUUCUACAUUCAAUAUGACUCGAGGACAACAUACAAUAGUCUUGUAUGAUUGCAUCUUUGUGAAAUUAUCUUCCACAUAUGGAAUUGAUUGAAGGAUCUAAUACAUUGCUUGUUUACAUUUCUACUUAUCAACUGGCUGUUGAACUCAUAUUAUCAUUUACAUUAUUAUUCAACCAGAAAUUCUAUAUGAUUGAUAUCCAUUCUUUGAUCGAUACUAUCAAUAACAUUUUGGUAUAUUUUGUUAUGGAUAUGCUGACAACAAUUAUAUUAACACUUAAUCCACAAUUCUUUCAUUAAUUAAGAAAUGACGUAGGUAUAAAGAAGAAUUGAUUAUCCAACAAUCCCUCAUUCCCUCGUUCCAUCAAUAUUAUUGUAUUCAAUUGUUUAAUAAAGAAAAAGACAAUUGUCAUGUUCAAUGCAAAACUGCUUAAGACUUCGCAUGUUACGACUUUUUUGCCUAUACACACCAAUGGUAGUUGAGACAUUGGGGAAGCCCUUGUGAACAUGUUGUUGAAAGGUCUCUCUGGUCUGUCAACGUGUGCACUUGCGUCACUACCUUCUCCUUUUCCUUAACGAAAAUUCUACAGAGAAAAAUCCAAGCAAAUGCUGUUCUAUCUAUCUUUCCCAUUCAAAUGAUGUCAUAUCUCACUAUAUCUCACCAAACCCAGUUAUUAACUUAUUAUUACUUUCAUGACCCAAAAAAGAAAAAGUUACUUUUACGUUUUCCGUUUUUUGCUAUACCACUUUUUUGUCAGUAAGGACACAAUUGUACUUUUAUAAAUCCAAACUAACAAACGCCAUAAUGGGCUUACUCAUUGACUAAAAACUAACAAAAAUAUAAAAUCACUUGAGCAAGACCCAAAAGUAUAUAGGGUAUUUAGAAGAUCUUAAUUAGUGCAUUUCCACAUGUAAGCUUAUAAAUAGGACCGAAAUAUAGAAGAAUUCUACAAUAAAUUUUAGGAAAAAUUCAAUUUGUCUUUCAAAAUUAAAAUAAGGAGUUAAAUUCUUAUUACGGAUACUUCUAUGUUUUUUCCACAUUGAGAAACUAAAAAUACAAAUGACACCCACAAAAAAAGUAAAAAUUCAAUUCUUGAGUAGGGCAGCCGCAUGUGAAAUCACACUCGCAAAGAGUUAAGACCCACAUUCAGAGGGUCUCACCCUUAUUUGAGUGCCACCGGUGCCGCGGUCCUGUUUAAGAUUUUUUUCCUAUCAAAAGGUGAAGGUUGCCACAAGUAAAUUAAUGUAUGUAUUUUAUAUCUAGUGGGGAUGAAAAAGUAAGGUGAUCCAUGUUUCUAUAGGAUAUUAUUAUUUACAUUAUUAGUCAAUUAGAGUAGUCACAUCCACACCAGUCUUUGCAUGCGAAACUGCUUACUGCCCUGCAACUGCCUUCACCAAAAUUCUCCCACAAACCCAUUAUUUUCCUUUAAAAUCUUAAAAACAAAAUUUGGUCCCUCUGUCGCCACAAUUUCUAAUUAAUGUUAGAAAACACUAGAAGCAUAUAGGAACAAAAGAAUCAAAAUUUUCUUCUUCGUAUUAUUUAUUUGAAUAUGACCUCAAAAGUCAAAGGCUUUCCAAGAACAUUCACUAUAAAAGAAAAGAAGGCUCCUUCUGUUUAACACACAUCUCAAUUCUCACAGACCGUCCCGUUUCGAAUCUAUCAAUGGCAGAAGCAACAAAGAGGUAGCACUUUAGACUUCAUUAUGCUUUGUUUCCUUGUCCGAUUUCCAAUCCCUUUAAUUGUUUUUGUUUCUAUGAAUUUGGUGUUUGUGUUUUCUUAGGUAUGCGGUUGUUACUGGAGCAAACAAAGGUAUAGGAUUGGAAACUGUAAGGCAGUUGGCCUCAAAUGGGUUCACCGUAGUCUUAACUGCCCGAGAUGAGAAGAGGGGUCUUGAAGCUGUUGAGAAACUCAAAGAGUCUGGCCUCUCAGGUCAAGUGGUUUUUCAUCAACUUGAUGUGGUUGACCCUGCUACUGUUGCUUCUUUGGCAGACUUCAUCAAAACCCAGUUUGGGAAACUCGAUAUCUUGGUAUGUAUAUGAUCAUAGCUACAGGUUUCUUGAAAAAGUUUCUGUCUUUUGAAUCUAACUCUUAAUCCGAAUGUGAUUUAGUUGGAGGAGAUGAAAUAUGGAAUUGGAAAAUGAAAAUAGCAAACCAAGUAAUAACUAGCUUAGUAAUAUCUUCAACAAGUUAAUCUUUGAAAUAAUUAGAAGUCUUAGGCUUUUUGAAGAACAAAACAAGUUUCACAUAACUACCAGUCUGCCACUCUGUUUUUGUUUCUUGGAAUCUUUUCAUAUAUGAUAUGAUCCCUUUCUGUACAAUUUAUAAGUACCCUAGAAAGAUCAGUGGCUGGAGUUACGGGGUUUGGCAAAGUGGCAUAAUUAUUGGGCUUCUUUAAAGGGCAUUGGCCUUUAUGGUUAGUUUGGUUUUAACAACAAAGAGAUUGUAAGAGUAAUCAGUGGAUCUAUCAACUUUCUUUUCCUUUCAUUUUCGAUUUUCUGUUCUUUUCUUUGCUAAAAGAAAACAGAUAGUGAAACAGUUGGACUCUGCACAGGUGAACAAUGCAGGGGUUGGUGGAAGCAUAGUAGAUGGUGAUGCUUUUAAAGCUUCUGUAGCCUCCGGUGCCACGGUAAGUCUUUUGUAUAAUUUUUUAUCAAUAGCUAUCAAAAACUAAAAGCUUCAAUGUAUGUGCCAAAGUGAGAAUUUAAACUGAUCUGUGGUUUGGCAUACUUUAAUCAACGUUUUUCUUGUUUGGGGUGGGUGUGUAAGUGGUGGGCAAUAGGCACCAUAAUAAUAAGUUUGUUUUUGCUGAUACAGGAAAGAGGAGGAGUUGAUUUUAGUAAACUAGUGACUGAAACUUAUGAGUUAACAGAAGAAUGCUUGCAAAUAAACUAUUAUGGUGCUAAAAGAACAGCUGAAGCACUUAUCCCACUCCUCCAGUUAUCUGACUCACCGAAAAUUGUUAAUGUUUCUUCUGUCAUGGGGAUGUUAAACAACAUACCAAGCGAUUGGGCUAGAGGAGUUUUUACUGAUGCCGAAAACCUAACAGAAGAGAGAGUAGAUGAGGUACUGACUGAGCUUCUAAAAGAUUUCAAGGAGGGUUCACUUGAAAGUAAGGGCUGGCCUUCUUCUAUGCCUGCCUAUAUAGUCUCAAAAGCAGCACUGAACGCAUAUACAAGGAUUCUAGCAAAGAAGUACCCCACUUUUCGUAUCAAUUCAGUCUGCCCUGGCUUUGUCAAAACAGAUAUAAACUACAAUGUCGGUGUCCUACCUGUCGAAGAAGGGGCUGCAAGGGUUAUGAAGUUAGCAUUGCUGCCCAAUGAUGGGCCUUCUGGUUCCUUCUUUGUUCAGUAUGAAGUGUCAGAUCUUUGAUUGAAGAUGAUCCAUUUAUGCAAUUUUAAUACAUAUCACUUGUUGGGCAGCAUCUUGAACUUUGAUGUAAUUUAAGUAUAUUUGGAACCAGCAGCAGAUCCUUUUUAAGUUCUUUCUACAUUCAAUAUGACUCGAGGACGACAUAAAAUAGUCCUGUAUGAUUGCAUCUCUGUGAAAUUAUUUUCCACAUCUUGAGUUGAUUGAAGGAUCUAAUACAUUGCUUGUUUACAUUUCUACUUAUCAACCGGCUCUUGAACCCAUAUUAUCGUUUACAUUAUUAUUCAAC